AUUGAACGCUGGCGGCAGGCUUUACACAUGCAAGUCGAACGAGUGGCGGACGGGUGAGUAAUGUCUGGGAACCUGCCUGAUGGAGGGGGAUAACUACUGGAAAGGGUAGCUAAUACCGCAUACUAUUCGAUGUGCCCAGAUGGGAUUAGCUAGUUGGUGGGGUAACGGCUCACCAAGGCGACGAUCCCUAGCUGGUCUGCGAGGAUGACCAGCCACACUGGAACUGAGACACGGUCCAGACUCCUACGGGAGGCAGCAGUGGGGAAUAUUGCACAAUGGGGGCAAGCCUGAUGCAGCCAUGCCGCGUGUAUGAUGAAGGCCUUCGGGUUGUAAAGUACUUUCAGCGGGGAGGCGUUACCCGCAGAAGAAGCACCGGCUAACUCCGUGCCAGCAGCCGCGGUAAUAC
rnacentral:rRNA from 1 species